rnacentral:tRNA from 1 species
CCUAUUAACUCCUAUAAGGCAUGUUUAUUUUGUUCUCUUCAUAACAUAGAAUUUUGAAACUUAGAAUUACUGUAUCUUCCUGAGUCACAUUUUCCCUCUUUAACUAAAAUGAAAACAUCAUUCUCCACAUGCCCCAGAAAAUAAUUGUUAGAAUUGCCUUUGGUUUCUGAACACUCUUACCUCAUUUAUCUAUUAAGAGGCCAGGUUUUAUAGAUUUCUUUUAGAGUUAUCUAAAAUACAAUUGUCCCUCCCAGUAUCUUCAUUUAUGAUACUAAUCCAGCUCAUAAUCACUUCAUUCAUGAUCUGUCUCCUAGUUCAUUUUAAUGUCUAAACAAAUAUUAGGAUACUAGUUACAGCUCUCUUAUCUUUCUGUAGCAACUGUUACUCCUCAAAAAUGCUAACUCUACUCUUGCUUAGAUAGUAUUUUCACUGAUAAGAGAAGAAUGUUAUAGUGAAGAGUCCUCAGUUUGACAAGAGGAUCUUCAGUGCUUCCAUUAAUAAUUCUUUAAGUAAUUUAUUUAACAUUUCUAAGACUAGACGUCUUCAACUUUAAAAUAUCAUUGGAAGAGAUAUUUAAUUCAUUCAUUCUUUUUCAAGCUUUUUAGCCCUUCAAACAUCCAUAUAUUCAAUAAAUAUUUAUUGUUUACUAAGUUCCAGGGACUCAACUAUAAGCAGGGAAUAAAAAAUGAAAAAAAAAAUGCAUCCCUUACAAGGAGUGCAAGUCUUACCUUUCAUAUUUUUGUGUUUAUAUUUCAAAGCAAGUCAAACAGAAGAUAAAUGAAUGCAAAUAUAGUAGUUCAAGAAAAGUUUAUCAACAUACAAAAUCUAAAUAUAAGUGUGAAAAUUCAGGUUUCCUUAAAUAUCCAUUAAAACUUUGUCUAAAAACUGAGUAUUUUUCUGACAUGGCAAUUUAAAAAUUUCUAUUUAUUAGAUAAAAACAAUAAACAUGUACUAAUUACGGUUUCUCUAAAUUUACUUCCAUGGAAUAGUUUUGUAAAGAAUAUUAAAGAAGAAUAAUUGGGGGUGCUUAAUUUGAAGAUUUGGCAAUGACUAGGAAAAUCUUUGUUUUAAACAACUAAGUCAUUUUGGUCCUUGUCAAUUCACACUUUAAUUAAACUGACAUCAAUGAAGGUAAUACAGCAUAAAAACAACAUUACAGUGGAUUUAAUAUUUGCUAUCGUCUAUGCUCUUUAGGUUGGGAUAAUUAAACCUGGCAUAUUUAUUAAAGGGGAAAACACAUCAAUUUAAGUUUGCUCUUUAAUGAAUUUAUUUGGUAUUAAAAUAUUUAGCAUUAAAUAUUUAAAACAGCUUAUGAAUAUAUUUUAUUCCCUCAAAUAUGCUAAUGAAUAUUUAAUACUAAACAAAUGUCCUAUUUCAUUUCUUUUUUCUCUCUCUGUGUGUAUGUUUUAUUUCAUCUUGCCAAGACCCUGUGUUAAUGUUAAAAAUUGAUUUCAAAAGAUUCAUGAUAUCUAUGUCAUAAGAAACCUUAAAGUGGACAGAUUUUUUUUUUCCGUAUAGGUGAAAUAGUAAAUCCUGGCUUCAGAGACUUUAAGACUACAUGAAAGGAGGAUUUAAAAGAGGCUCUAAUGUAUUUAUAGGCCAAAGACUGGGAAAGUCAUGUCCUCAAAUGCUCUGCCUUCUUCAGUGGAAAGUUUUCUUGCUUUUAAGGAUUAAGUACUCAUGUGAAAUCCUCAUUUCCCUUUACUAGACUCAAAUUCAUGCUCUCUUAAAGUAAGAGUCUGUAAACUAUCUGGACAAAAUCUAAUGAUAUUUCACUGAAGUUCAUGAAAUAAUCUUGUUUGAACUACAUAGAGGGCUCUUUGGUAACACCAUGCUUUGGGGGACAGUUCCAGCUAAUCACAUACAUGCUUUUCAUUAAGGUGGCCCUCUGUGAUUUUAUUCAUGAUUUCUAUCUUUUCCUUUUGGCCUCCAUACUUUAGACCCAGAAGAGUUUAACACGUGAUUUGUGCUUUUAUUAUUAUGUUUGUAUUUUGUGAGUUGCUUCUAAAAUUGCAUAUUCAUUUUUCUUGAAUAUUAUUUUUCUCUUCUUAGUUAGGAAUUGUGUUCUAUUCUUUAAAUACAGACCCUGAAAACUUUCUAAGAAUACUCAUCCUGGGUAAAUGGUAAAUCAAGGCUAAAUGUCUUUAUUUUGCUUUAUGUUUUUCUUUAACAAAGUAAAUUUUAUUCCACCUUUAUUAAUUACUCAAAUAAAAUAAAAUCAUUUUUUCUUAUUUUUGAAACUCAGUUGUUUUCUUUAAAAUAAGUUAUUACAUAUUGUAUAUAUAAAGUAUUUUUCUCACUUUAAUCAUAUGUUAUAAGACAUUUUUGUGUAUAUGGUCCAUUCACUGGUGAUUCAUGUACAAAAGAUCACCUAUAAAAAUCUUUAACUAAACUAUAUCUAAUUUUGCACUUGGAAGAAUAUAAAGAAUACAAUGGAUAUAAAGAACACUAAUGAUUGUAAUAGUAACAACCAUAGUAAAACUAUUAGUUUUCAAGGUUUUUGAAUUUUUAAAAUUUCUGUUCAUUAUCUGCUUAAUUGUAAAGAGGCUCAAGAAUUAAUUAUGCUCUGUCUUGAGGUACAUAGUUAUCAUGACUAUUGAAUACUUGCAGUGAUAUGGACACAAAUAAUAUUGAAUAUUCUAUACUGGUAUAUUUAUUUAUAUUAUAUAUUUACUUCUCCACUUCCUCCUGUUCUGUCUUGAACCCCCUCCAAUCAUCCUGUCUUUCUCACAGUCUACUAGUACUGCUUUUGUCAAGGUCAUUCAUGGUUUCCAUGCUGAUAAAUCCAGUGUUACUGGUGGAACAGCAGUUCCUUGGUUCUUGUUCCUCUGAGGGAAAGAAUUCAGUCAGGGAGACAUAAAGCAGUUUCAAACAGCAGGAGUUUUAUUAAGCAAAGCAAGCAAAAGUAUGCUCCUGGAGAGAAGAGAAUGGCUGUCUGGCUGGAAACCAGAAGCAGCCUCACAGUGGGGGUAGGGCUGUUUUUGCAGAGUAGUGGAAGGUCCCUCCCUAUGUCCUGCAUUAUUUGAUUGACAAAGUAAUUGUUAGCCUGAGGUUAUAUAACUUUUCUCCUACUGUUCAGGUGCUUACCCAUAAGCACCCAAGUGAAACCCCCAGUGGGGAGGGAAGGGCAAAAUAGCAAUACUAAUUUAUUAUAAAUAUGGCAUAAUGAACCCCGGUUAUUCUGGGUCACCUCUUGGUCUUGGUGCACCUUCACCAAUUGGUUCUGGUGGUUUGGAAAGUCCAGUUGUGGGUUUGUUUGUUUGAUUGUUUUUGCUUUUAAGUGCCGCACGUGUGGCAUAUGGAAGUUCCCAGGCUAAGGUCAAAUAGGAACUACACCACAGCCACAACAACGCAGGACCCGAGCUGGGUCCGUGAACUACACCACAACUCAUGGCAACACCAGACCCCCGAUGCACUGAGUGAGACCAGAGAUCCAAGCCUGAAUCCUCACUGAUACUAGUCGGAUUCAUUUCUGCUGUACCACAGUGGGAACUCCCAGUUGUAUUCUUUGACCUUCUACUAACUCCACUCGAGAUGGGUGAGGACCCAUUCAUGUCUGACUAGCUACCUAACAAGUUCUCACUGUUCAUCUUACGUGAUUUAUAAGCUGUGCUGAUGUGUUGAUUGCUCCUUCACUUAUAAGAAUUUGUCCCUGGACUUCUGGAACACUUUUCUCUUGGGUUUUGUCUCUUGAUGUGGCAACUCAGUUCCCCGACCAGGGAUUGAACCUGGGCCACAGUGGUGAAAGCAGUGAAUCCUAUCCACUAGACCACCAGGGAGUUCCCUUGAGAAUGUCUUUAAAACUGUUCUUUGCUAUUUGUGUUCUCUCUUAGUGAACUCGUGCAGUCUCAGGGCUUGAAAUACCAUUUGUAUUACGAAAAUUCCAGAUAUAUCUUCAGAUCUCUCACCCUAGAUUCUAAACAAAUACACAACUGCCUACUUAUUUCCAUUUGCAUUUUAAAUAGAUAUCUCAAACUUAACAUGUCUUAAUUUUCCCCUCAAACUUUGAUUUUCCUUUUCUCUUCCUCUUUGGUGUUAAUGGCAACUCCUUUUUUCCAGUUGUAAGUAUCAGAAACCUUGGGUUCCCCCUUUGGGGGUCUUCUUCCUACAUCCCAAAUACAUUUCUUAAGAAAAUACUGAUGGGAGUUCCCUUCGUGGCACAGUGGUUAACGAAUCCGACUAGGAACCAUGAGGUUGCGGGUUCGGUCCCUGCCCUUGCUCAGUGGGUUAACGAUCCGGCGUUGCCGUGAGCUGUGGUGUAGGUNNNNNNNNNNNNNNNNNNNNNNNNNNNNNNNNNNNNNNNNNNNNNNNNNNNNNNNNNNNNNNNNNNNNNNNNNNNNNNNNNNNNNNNNNNNNNNNAAAAAAAAAAAAAAAAAGAAAAUACUGGUGGAUCAUGCGAUAUAUCUAGAAUUCAACUACUUGUGCUACCACUAAAGUCCAAGCUAUUAUUAUACCUACCUGUAUUUCCGCAGAAGCUUCCAAAUAUUUGUCCACAAAAAGUCAGUUCUCAACACAGUAGCCUCAGGGAUUUUUUUUAAUCUAGGUAAUGUCACCCCUCUGUUCAAAAUCUUCCACAGGCAGUAAUUGCCGAAGAAGAGUACAAGCCAGUGUUUUAUAAAAGCCAACAAUACCUUACAUGAUAUGGAUCAUGUUAAUGCUUUUGCUUCAAAUUCUACUGCUUUCUCUCUUUUUUUUUACACUCUUCUAGACUCAUUGGCCUCUUAACCCUUAUGGAUCACAUGAACCAGGGUCCAGCCUUAGAGUCACUGUGCUUAGUUUCUGAUAUCUGGAAUGUUCCUUUCCACAUAUCUGCAAAUUUCACUCCCUUGAUUCAAAUUGUGAAGAAACUAUUUGUCUUAAUCUGUUCAGGCUGCUAUGAAUACCAUAUACUAGGUUGUUUAUAAACCACAGAAAUUUGUUUCUCUUAGUUCAAGAUGCUGGAAGUGUCGGCAUGGUCAGGUACUGGUGAGGGUCCUCUUUUGGAUUGCACACUACCUAUAUUGUGUUGUGUCCUCACUAGUCAGAGGAGGGUGAGAGAACUCUCUAGGGUCUCUUUCAUAGAACUCUAUUCCAUCCAUGAGGGCUUCACCCUCAGGAUCUAAUCAUCCCUACAAUCCCACCUCUUAAUACCAUCACUUGUGGGGGUGAUGGUGGUGAGGAUUUUAACACAUCGAUUUUGAGAGAACAGAGAGUUUGAAUAUAGUGACCUGUUUGGAAGCCAUUGACAUUAUUUGGGCUUAAAAUAAAGCUGACUUAAGAAAAGGCAGCAGAAUUGAAAAGAGCAGAUUGGUUUUUAGAUUCUGUGCAACACAUCGUACAUCAUUUGUUAUUUUAGUCUAUAGGAUACAGAGAGUAUGGGAAAAAUCAAAUUAGCCUUCAUGAGAGUGUGGCCAUGUUGGUUUGUGCUUGUAAUGUGUAAACCUUGUGUCUGUUAUAGGGAUUGGCCCAAGGUUCACUCUCUAAUAAACAUUUGAUAAGUAAGUGACUAUACCAAUUUUAACAUACUCUUAAGUUUUCAUAAAAUGAAAUCGGUACAAUUAAGCCAUAAAUCAUAUAGAUAUGCUCUUGUAUCAGCAUGACUCUAAACGAGAUCUCAGAAUAGUAGGUACUUAAUAGUCCUUUAUGAUCAAAGAUGAAAAUGCUUUACUAAUUUUCUUUUUUGAUUUAGUAUCAUAAGCAAUCGGGAGCCAUAGUGUUGAAGAACAUCUUAAUCGCCUAUAACACUGGAAAUUAUCAUACCCCUUAGAAUGCUUUGUUGAAAGGACUGUAAAUGUGACCCUGACAUUAUUUUCCCUAAUGAUUCUGGAAUUGAUUACCCACUCUCUCUACACAGCAGAUUCCUUCGUUUUCUAUUCACAGAGACUUUUGCACCAGCAUGUUUUUCUGCUCUAUGUUACAGGCAGGGAUGCCAGGCUGAGCUCUUGGUUUCUACCUGAAUGCUUUGAUGGAGGAAGAUAUUGGCUACACUGAUGUUAGGGCAUUUUCAGCACCUUCCAUUUUCCUUCCUUUCCUUGGUUUUAAUUAGCAUUGGUGAUUUAAAGGCUGACUACAUUUUUCAUCCAAGUUUUUCUUUCAAGUCACUGAUCAAUAACUCGUUAAUGAAGCUAGAAAAAGAGAAUGAAGUAUUCUUAAAUGUCCACUACCACUCCCUAAAGCAAACAAACAAGGCAGUUGUUGCACUGAGGAAAUCAUUUAGCUAGCUAAAUCCUGCAGCUGCCAUGAGGAAGGAUAAUUGAUUUAGUGAGAAGGGUGCUAACAUCCCUAAAUAUUAAAUUCAUUGCAUGAUAUUUAAAAGAUGGCUUUAAUGGCUAUUAAUAUUUGCAUUAUCAUUUUCAAUUUUACUUUCAUGAAAUAUUAUA